UCUUAUUGUAGCCCUUAAAUCCGCCCCGUUUGCUCAGCCUCCCAGCAGGGAGCGCUGCCUCUCUGGGGAGAAGGUCGUUGUGCCUCCGUGCGGCGUCCUUCCCCUCCUGACGCCGACCGGUGGGAGAGGACGACGGCCGGCGGGGGGAGGAGGCGGCCUUAGCGCCAUUUUGUGGGAGCGAAGCGGUAGCUGGGCUGCUCUUGGAUCCCUCGCUGCUUCGGUUUCCCUGUCGGAAGAGAAACCAGACCGGGCUUCCUAGCAGCGGCCUAGCGGAGAAAUAAGAAAAGAUGUCUGAAUAUAUUCGGGUAACGGAAGAUGAGAAUGACGAGCCUAUUGAAAUACCAUCAGAAGACGACGGGACAGUGCUGCUGUCCACGGUUACAGCCCAGUUUCCCGGGGCGUGUGGACUGCGCUACAGGAAUCCAGUGUCCCAGUGUAUGAGAGGUGUCCGGCUGGUGGAAGGAAUUCUGCAUGCCCCCGAUGCCGGCUGGGGAAAUCUGGUAUAUGUUGUCAACUAUCCCAAAGAUAACAAAAGAAAAAUGGAUGAGACAGAUGCUUCAUCAGCAGUGAAAGUGAAAAGAGCUGUCCAGAAAACGUCUGAUUUAAUAGUGUUGGGUCUUCCAUGGAAAACGACUGAACAGGAUCUAAAAGAAUAUUUUAGUACCUUUGGAGAAGUUCUUAUGGUUCAGGUCAAGAAAGAUAUUAAAACUGGCCAUUCAAAGGGGUUUGGCUUUGUUCGUUUUACGGAAUAUGAAACCCAGGUUAAAGUAAUGUCACAGCGACAUAUGAUAGAUGGACGGUGGUGUGACUGUAAACUUCCUAAUUCUAAGCAAAGCCCAGAUGAGCCUCUGAGAAGCAGGAAGGUGUUCGUCGGGCGCUGUACAGAGGACAUGACCGCUGAUGAGCUGCGUCAGUUCUUCUGCCAGUACGGAGAAGUGGUAGAUGUCUUCAUUCCCAAACCGUUCCGGGCCUUUGCCUUUGUUACCUUUGCAGAUGAUCAGGUUGCCCAGUCUCUUUGUGGAGAGGACUUGAUCAUUAAAGGAAUCAGCGUACAUAUAUCCAAUGCUGAACCUAAGCACAAUAGCAAUAGACAGUUAGAAAGAAGUGGAAGAUUUGGUGGUAAUCCAGGUGGCUUUGGGAAUCAGGGUGGGUUUGGUAACAGUCGAGGGGGUGGAGCUGGCUUGGGAAACAAUCAGGGUAGUAAUAUGGGUGGAGGGAUGAACUUUGGCGCCUUUAGCAUCAAUCCGGCGAUGAUGGCUGCAGCCCAGGCAGCGCUGCAGAGCAGCUGGGGCAUGAUGGGCAUGUUAGCCAGUCAGCAGAACCAGUCGGGCCCAUCAGGUAACAACCAGAGCCAAGGCAACAUGCAGAGGGAGCCAAAUCAGGCCUUUGGUUCUGGAAAUAACUCCUAUAGCGGUUCUAAUUCAGGUGCAGCAAUUGGUUGGGGAUCUGCAUCAAACGCAGGGUCUGGCAGCGGUUUUAAUGGAGGGUUCGGCUCAAGCAUGGAUUCUAAAUCUUCUGGCUGGGGGAUGUAGACAGUGGGGUUGGUAGAGACUGGUGGGAAUUCAAAUUUUUCUAAACACAUGGUAAGUAUAUUGUAAAAUACAUAUGUACUAAGAAUUUUCAAAAUUGGUUUGUUCAGUGUGGAGUAUAUUCAGCAGUAUUUUUGACAUUUUUCUUUAGAAAAAGAGGAAAAGCUAAAGGAAUUUUAUAAGUUUUGUUACACAAAGGGUUGAAAUAUUGAGUGUUUGAAAGUGAACUGCUGUUUGCCUGAUGGGUAAAAACCAACACACUACAAUUGAUAUCAAAAGGUUUCUCCUGUAAUCUUUUAUCCCUGGACUUGUCAAGUGAAUUCUUUGCAUGUUCAAAUGGAAACCAUUGAUUAGAACUACAUUCUUUCCUCCUCGUUUUAAUUUGAACCCCACCAUAUGGAUUUCUCCCUUAGGAAAAUCUCCUUUUUGGAGAUCAUGGUGUCACAGUGUUUGGUUCUUUUGUUUUUGUUUUGUUUUUUUUAACACUUGUCUCCCUUCACAUGCAAAAGUACAAUACGAAGCCUUCAUUUAAUCUCUGCAGUUCAUCUCAUUUCAAAUGUUUAUGGAAGAAGCACUUCAUUGAAAGUAGUGCUGUAAAUGUUCUGCCAUAGGAAUACUUCUGUCUGCACGCUUUCUCAUUCAAGAACUCGUCAGCACGCUGCACAGGCUGCGUCUUUGACGUUUUUAAUAAGUCUGGGUGACCGCACCUAAAAUGGUAAGCAGUACCCUCCAGCUUCUUAUUAGUGCCUCUGUGCAUUUGGGUGAUGUUCUAUUUACAUGGCCUGUAUAAAUCUCCAUUGGGAAUCAUGCCUUCUAAAAAUAUUUGGGCGAGUGGGAAAAACAAUGUUAAUUAUUUUCAAAUGCUUUGUAGCAAAGCAUAGUCAAAAAGAAGGGAAUAUCAGCACCUCUUUCUGGUUCGGGAUUUGAAAAGUGGAAUUAAUUGCGGUAGGGAUAAAGUAGAAGAAACCACAAAUUAUCUUGUGCCUGAAUCCAUUACAAAGCCUGAUAGCUUUAAGAACUAGCAGGGUGGGUUGUCUGUCUGGAAGUGUUAAGUGAAAUGGGCUUUGUCCUCCACAAGUGGGGGAAUAGAGUAAUGUUGAAUAAAAUCGUUUACAAACUCAGAUUAGACUCUCACGACGCAUUGUGAAGUAUGUAAAAGCAAUAAUCUGUUGAUUCUCUGUUGUACUUUUGAUGUAACUACUGUGAGGGUUGAGCUUGUUUUCUGAUGGAAGAAUGAACAGUUUUUGUGUUGGUAGUUUUACCUGAUGCCCUUAUCUGAUUAGAUUAUGAUAAAUAGGUUGGUUUGUCAUUUUGCAAGUUACGUGUUUUAACUUGUAGAAAUGAAGUCGUCCUUUAGACUUGUGAUCGCCACGUUGUUUCGUUAUUCAGUUUCCUCUGUAAAAGGAUCUUGCGUUGUUUUAAUUUUUUUUCUGCAUCUAAGUUGCAUGAUUUCCAAACCCUGUACCAUCUGAAUUUUGCAUUUUAGCACUUGCACUAUUACUCAGCAGCAGUAACAUGGUAACACUUAAAAUGGUAUUCGGGGACCUCCAAAGACUAAACUGACAAGCCUCCAAGGAGCCCGGGGUGAUGGAAAGAUACCUUUAAAAAGGGAGUCUCAAGAAGUUCCCCUUUAACGUGCACAAGAGAAAUCGGGCCAAAACUCACAAUGAAUUUUUACAUGAGUGAUGAUGAUUUGGCUAGAAUGAAACCCUUUGUUAAAUGUGAACCUAUUAGAACUUCUUAAGGAGGAACAGCCAACGAAAAUGACAUGAGAUUUUUAAGGUUAAGUCGGCUUAAAUUGUGUCCUUAGGAGAAGGAAGAUGUAUGUGAUAAUUAGAAUAAUUUGUUGUUGAGUACUAGCAUCAUGAGUAUAACCUUCAUGUAUAAAAAUGGCCUCGGCCCAGGCUUGUGUGUAAUGAGCCGACAGUCUCUUCACGGUACCCAUUCUGAUGUCUAAGGAGGAGGCAGCUUCUUUCUGCGCGUAUACAGCGUGAGCAGCUGUUAGGAUCCAGCCGUCCUGCAGGAGUGCGCCCGCUGCUGUAGCUUGACCUAGUAACAGGACUUGCCAGGGGAAAUCACCAAGCUUCGCCUUCUGCCCUCCGUAUAUACGACCUCCUAUGGUACGAGUUGAUAUUCCACAAACUGGGGAAAGAAGCAGAGCCUUUAUAGAAACCCCGCGGUGGUUUUUCCCACAAUUAUUACCACUUUGGAAUUGUGUCUGAUGUCAUCCAAAAGUUACCUCGGGUUGAUGGGGCGCCCACCUAAACAGGUGAGGCUGCUUUUUAAAACACAGUUCAAAGACCCGAUAAAACCUCUUGGUAAAAAUGAGGUGAGUGAAAAUUAACAUUUAGAAACUAAUUUGUUUUGCUAAAAUAAUUUGGUCUACACGAUCGGGAAAAUUAAUAGGGCAAACAGGAAUUGUAUGAGCUGAUGUACUGGGUGAUGUGAUUAGAAAGUGAAAGGAAAUGACCUUUUCAUUGCUUAUUUUCCUACUUGUAAAAUGGGGUAUUUUCCAUGUAGUUCUGGGAAAGCAGGAACUAAGGUCACUACCCCAGGAUUUGCAAAAUUCGUUUCACCUUUGAACAUACAAAUGUUUUAAAAAUCAGGAUGUUGCAGUUGUAGCCAGGAACCUUCAGGUUCAGGAAUUUUUUGGUCUAGUUGAGGCUUCCAAACUAAAUUUACUGUGUAUGGCUAACAAUGUGCUCAUUAAUGUAGCAGCUAUGCCUCCUGUUGUGUCAGAAUACUGGCAUUAAAACUUAAAAUGUUGUGUCAGCUAAGAUACCUUUUUUUUUUAAGCCAAAUAACAAAGGAGUAAUGAAUAUAUUACCACCUUUCUUAUUUUUUUAAUCACUGUACUCAACUUUAUCUUUAGAGCCAAUUCUGGUAAAAAAAAUUUUUUUUGAGUACUAUUAAAAGGCAAAUUGCAUUAAUGUUUAAAAACUAGAUGUCACUGAAAACAAUUGCUUAGGGAAAUAAUGAAGUUAUUAGCUUUGGGGUUUUAAUAGUUACACAGAGAAAAGUAACUCCGCAGCAGAACUUGUGUUUAUAAAUGUAUAAAUGGUUCAAGAUAAUUUUUAAAAUAAUUUUUUAUGCUUGCCUGGUUAUAAGGUCAGAUAUAAUCAAGUGACUGAUAAAGUCAGCACCUAGCAACCUCUCCGACCAGAAAGGGGGUGAUAAGAACGUAGUAUUUGGAAAUAACAACUUGGUGUAAGAACCAAGUGCUGAAGUUCCAUUUCUGCCCACCACAGCUAAAGCUCCGCUGAUGUCUCCCACCCAGUUCUACUUCCAUCAAUAAGAAUCUCCUGUAUAAAUGUAUCCAUUACCAGGCUCACAGACUGGGAGUGAUGUUUCUCCUUUGGAGCUCGUCCAGAAUCCAUCAGCCUCACACACAUAUUUACCUGCAAAUCAUUGGAAAAGCAAAAAUGUUUAACUGCAUGUAUAAGGUGGUUGUCAUUUGCUUGAAUACCCCCUUGAAAAAUGUUGAUUCUUGAGCAUCAGUGGGAAGUAGAGGUGUCUGAAUAACCAUUUUACAUGAUUUCAUGAAUAGGAGGUCUCUGCAUUAACCAUGUUUGCUUGCAAAGUGGAAACCUUUUAGAUGUGUAACUUGAAUAUGUAUCAAGAUCUCAAGUGCUUAAUGAUAAGGUUUUGACUUGUUAAAUUAAACCAUUUGGAAUAUA